AACGCACCUUGCGCUCCUUGGUAUUCCGAGGAGCAUGCCUGUUUGAGUGUCAGUAAAUUCUCAACCCCUCCAGCUGUUGUGGCUGGCCCUUGGGGCUUGGAUAUGGAGGUUUUGCCGGCCUUUUUUCUUAGGUCGACUCCUCUGAAAUAUAUUAGUGGAACCGUUUGCGAUCCGUCACAGGUGUGAUAAUUAUCUACGCCAGUGGGUUGCUUUCUGUCUUAGUUCUGCUGCCAACUGUCCGUAUGGACAACAUUCAUACUGAACCUUUGACCUCAAAUCAGGUAGGACUACCCGCUGAACUUAA
rnacentral:misc_RNA from 1 species